AAUAGAUACCCUGGUAGUCCACCCCGUAAACGUUGGGAACUAGUUGUGGGGUCCUUUCCACGGAUUCCGUGACGCAGCUAACGCAUUAAGUUCCCCGCCUGGGGAGUACGGCCGCAAGGCUAAAACUCAAAGGAAUUGACGGGGACCCGCACAAGCGGCGGAGCAUGCGGAUUAAUUCGAUGCAACGCGAAGAACCUUACCAAGGCUUGACAUACACCAGAACACCCUAGAAAUAGGGGACUCUUUGGACACUGGUGAACAGGUGGUGCAUGGUUGUCGUCAGCUCGUGUCGUGAGAUGUUGGGUUAAGUCCCGCAACGAGCGCAACCCUCGUUCUAUGUUGCCAGCACGUAAUGGUGGGAACUCAUGGGAUACUGCCGGGGUCAACUCGGAGGAAGGUGGGGAUGACGUCAAAUCAUCAUGCCCCUUAUGUCUUGGGCUUCACGCAUGCUACAAUGGCCGGUACAAAGGGCUGCAAUACCGUGAGGUGAGCGAAUCCCAAAAGCCGGUCCCAGUUCGGAUUGAGGUCUGCAACUCGACCUCA
rnacentral:rRNA from 1 species